GGAAUGCUGUCAGGAAAACCAAGCAGCACUCAGAGAUCUUGGUGGAUCAGAGAUUUAUUUAACACCGGUUGGCUCAGAGGAGACCAUUUCUCCAAAGAUCUGAGCGCCGAAUGCAAGUGGGAAUGGCUGCAUGUGCCAAAGAACAAAGGGAGGAGGGACUGAAAGUGCAACUCCUUAGGCAAUUUAUUUUCAUAAAUCGUCUGCUGUAAGUGCCCUCAAUGUGCCUUUCGGUCAGACACUUGCUCUUGAAAGGACGUCGAUUAAAGCCUUGCUUCACAUG